AGAGUUUGAUCAUGGCUCAGGAUGAACGCUGGCGGCGUGCCUAAUACAUGCAAGUCGAGCGAACGGACGAGAAGCUUGCUUCUCUGAUGUUAGCGGCGGACGGGUGAGUAACACGUGGAUAACCUACCUAUAAGACUGGGAUAACUUCGGGAAACCGGAGCUAAUACCGGAUAAUAUUUUGAACCGCAUGGUUCAAAAGUGAAAGACGGUCUUGCUGUCACUUAUAGAUGGAUCCGCGCUGCAUUAGCUAGUUUGUAAGGUAACGGCUUACCAAGGCAACGAUGCAUAGCCGACCUGAGAGGGUGAUCGGCCACACUGGAACUGAGACACGGUCCAGACUCCUACGGGAGGCAGCAGUAGGGAAUCUUCCGCAAUGGGCGAAAGCCUGACGGAGCAACGCCGCGUGAGUGAUGAAGGUCUUCGGAUCGUAAAACUCUGUUAUUAGGGAAGAACAUAUGUGUAAGUAACUGUGCACAUCUUGACGGUACCUAAUCAGAAAGCCACGGCUAACUACGUGCCAGCAGCCGCGGUAAUACGUAGGUGGCAAGCGUUAUCCGGAAUUAUUGGGCGUAAAGCGCGCGUAGGCGGUUUUUUAAGUCUGAUGUGAAAGCCCACGGCUCAACCGUGGAGGGUCAUUGGAAACUGGAAAACUUGAGUGCAGAAGAGGAAAGUGGAAUUCCAUGUGUAGCGGUGAAAUGCGCAGAGAUAUGGAGGAACACCAGUGGCGAAGGCGACUUUCUGGUCUGUAACUGACGCUGAUGUGCGAAAGCGUGGGGAUCAAACAGGAUUAGAUACCCUGGUAGUCC
rnacentral:rRNA from 1 species